CAGUUUCGUACCACGUAAAUAACGUGGCACUCUUUAGAUAAAAUAGCCUAUGUUUAAACAUAGGCUAUUUUAUCUGAAGAGUGCCACGUUAUUUACGUGGUACGAAACUG